rnacentral:rRNA from 1 species
GACGAACGCUGGCGGCGCGCUUAACACAUGCAAGUCGAGCGAAGCGGCGGACGGGUGAGUAACACGUGAGUAACCUGCCUUAGACAUUGGGAUAGCCUCGGGAAACCGGGAUUAAUACCAAAUGGUCUAAGAUGGACUCGCGUCCCAUUAGCUAGUUGGUGAGGUAACGGCCCACGAAGGCGACGAUGGGUAGCCGGCCUGAGAAGCUGAACGGCCACAUUGGAACUGAGAAACUGUCCACACUCUACGUGAGGCAGCAGUGGGGCAUAUUUCACAAUGGAGGGGACUCUGAUGCCGCGACGCCGCGUGAACGAAGAAGGCUUUCGAGUCGUAAAGUUCUUUAAUAUGGGAAGCGGUACCAUAAGAAAAAGCCCCGGCUAACUACGUGCCAGCAGCCGCGGUAAUAC